rnacentral:rRNA from 1 species
UCACUUACAGAUGGGCCCGCGGCGCAUUAGCUGGUUGGUGAGGUAACGGCUCACCAAGGCGACGAUGCGUAGCCGACCUGAGAGGGUGAUCGGCCACACUGGGACUGAGACACGGCCCAG